UAGAAGCACCGGUUCUCGUUAGAUCACCGAAGUUAAGCAUCAUUGGGCGCGGUCACUGGGUGGGUGACCAUAUG